rnacentral:rRNA from 1 species
CCUGCCAGUAGUCAUAUGCUUGUCUCAAAGAUUAAGCCAUGCAUGUCUAAGUACGCACGGCCGGUACAGUGAAACUGCGAAUGGCUCAUUAAAUCAGUUAUCGUUUAUUUGAUAGUACCUUACUACUUGGAUAACCGUGGUAAUUCUAGAGCUAAUACAUGCUAAAAACCCCAACUUCGGAAGGGGUGUAUUUAUUAGAUAAAAAACCAACGCCCUUCGGGGCUCCUUGGUGAUUCAUAAUAACUAAACGAAUCGCAUGGCCUUGCGCCGGCGAUGGUUCAUUCAAAUUUCUGCCCUAUCAACUUUCGACGGCUGGGUCUUGGCCAGCCAUGGUGACAACGGGUAACGGAGGGUUAGGGCUCGACCCCGGAGAAGGAGCCUGAGAAACGGCUACUACAUCCAAGGAAGGCAGCAGGCG